CCUACGGGGGACAGCAGUGACGAAUAUUGGUCAAUGGCCGCAGCGCUGAACCAGCCAAGUCGCGUGAGGGAUGACGGUCCUAUGGACUGUAAACCUCUUUUGUAAGGGAGCAAAGGGCGCCACGUGUGGCGCUUUGCGAGUACCUGAAGCAAAAGCAUCGGCUAACUCCGUGCCAGCAGCCGCGGUAAUACGGAGGGUGCGAGCGUUAUCCGGAUUUAUUGGGUUUAAAGGGCGCGUAGGUGGAUUGUUAAGUCAGUUGUGAAAGUUUGCGGCUCAACCGUAAAAUUGCAGUUGAAACUGGCAGUCUUGAGUACAGGAGAGGUGGGCGGAAUUCGUGGUGUAGCGGUGAAAUGCUUAGAUAUCACGAAGAACUCCGGUUGCGAAGGCAGUUCACUGGACUGCAACUGACACUGAGGCUCGAAGGUGUGGGUAGCAAACAGGAUUAGAUACCCGGGUAGUC
rnacentral:rRNA from 1 species